rnacentral:lncRNA from 1 species
CUUGGCAGGCGUAAUGGAGUCCUCUUUCAUGGUGGCAUUUGAGAUGAUGUCCUAUGUCUAUAUAAAAGUCAGAGAGUACGAACGGAAAAGUUUGGAAAUGCAUUUUCUUAAGGAUAAAGAAAACGCUAUAAUAUGUGAAUGUGGUAUUAUACCAGUUCUUGAUGGUUUGAGUGUUUAUAGGCCAUCCUAAUGAAGUUUUAUUUAAUUCAAUGUAACUGUAAACCAGACACGUUUGGCCUGACAGAUGUAGAAAGAAUAGUAGUUUAUGUCGAUGUCUUUGUUUCAUAGAGUCUAGUGAAGACCAGCAGCAGCCAGUUACACCCUGGGACGACCUGUGUAUUAUAGACCGAGUAGGACUCAACAGUGCUCAGAUGACAGAGGACCAAGUGGAGUCCGCCUUCUCCCAGAUAGCGCUGGCUUUUCGUAGCGACCAGUUCACCCUGAGGCAGAGGCUGCUUGCAGAAGAGCACGCCAGGAACCUGGCCGAGGAGAACAUCCAGCUGGAACUGGUUAGGGGCCGUGAGACACUGGAGACUCUGAAGGCGCUGUGCCUUGACAGUAAGCGCAGUGAGAUCCUCCAGAGACUAGAGCUGUGCCUGGACAUAAUGGAAGGGACAGUAGAGAGAGUAUCCAGCACAGCAGAGGUGCUUGGAGCCGUACAUCAGGUAAUGACUUCCACACAGACAUUACUACCCGGGUCGUCCCCUCAGGGCUUUUCCUCAAAGAACCUUUUUGAGAACAUUUCUUUUUCAGGAACCUUCUUUGAAAUACCCGUUAUAAUUUUCCAAUGGGGGUUCCGCCACAGUUUGUAAUUUAAAGAACCCCUAAACGAACCUCCGUGGAACCUUUUCUUUUAAACGUGUGCCUGAAAUGAGCAAACAUACACUGCGGCGCGUGCUGUGUGGGGCAGGAGGCGCGUGUUAGCAGGGCGUUGGAUCUGAUGGUGAGCCAUGUGGAGAGCCUGAGGAGGCGUCUUGAGAGGGGCGGCCCGGAGCUCGACGAGACCAAGGACAUCCACGGGAGGGGCUCCCACCGGGUUCAUAGCGACUGCAAAGGUACAUCUCCGCUGGUGACACUGUCUGGGUUCAGCCUUGGGUCUUCCGUCGGUGAUGAGGUUCUGUUAGCUGGGUGAACUAAAGGCAGGGCCC